CCAGUACUGAGCCGGGGCCGGCCGGGCACAGGGAGGAGCCUGGAGCAGCCUCCUGAGAGCCCAGCUGGAUGUCAGAGCUCAGCCCUGCUCAAAAGCUGCACACCCAGAGGCCUUCCUGGUGCAAUAAACCAUCCCAAAAGCAAAA